UACGUAGGGUGCAAGCGUUAAUCGGAAUUACUGGGCGUAAAGCGUGCGCAGGCGGUUGUGCAAGACCGAUGUGAAAUCCCCCGGGCUUAACCUGGGAAUGGCAUUGGUGACUGCACGGCUAGAGUGUGUCAGAGGGGGGUAGAAUUCCACGUGUAGCAGUGAAAUGCGUAGAGAUGUGGAGGAAUACCGAUGGCGAAGGCAGCCCCCUGGGAUAA
rnacentral:rRNA from 1 species